rnacentral:rRNA from 1 species
AGUGAACGCUGGCGGUAGGCCUAACACAUGCAAGUCGAGCGGCAGCACAGUAAGAGCUUGCUCUUACGGGUGGCGAGUGGCGGACGGGUGAGGAAUACAUCGGAAUCUACUUUUUCGUGGGGGAUAACGUAGGGAAACUUACGCUAAUACCGCAUACGACCUACGGGUGAAAGCAGGGGAUCUUCGGACCUUGCGCGAUUGAAUGAGCCGAUGUCGGAUUAGCUAGUUGGCGGGGUAAAGGCCCACCAAGGCGACGAUCCGUAGCUGGUCUGAGAGGAUGAUCAGCCACACUGGAACUGAGACACGGUCCAGACUCCUACGGGAGGCAGCAGUGGGGAAUAUUGGACAAUGGGCGCAAGCCUGAUCCAGCCAUACCGCGUGGGUGAAGAAGGCCUUCGGGUUGUAAAGCCCUUUUGUCGGGAAAGAAAAGCAGCAGGUUAAUACCCCGCUGUUCUGACGGUACCCAAAGAAUAAGCACCGGCUAACUUCGUG